AGCGAACGCUGGCGGCAGGCCUAACACAUGCAAGUCGAACGGAUCCUUCGGGAUUAGUGGCGGACGGGUGAGUAACACGUGGGAACGUGCCCUUUGGUUCGGAACAACUCAGGGAAACUUGAGCUAAUACCGGAUGUGCCCUUCGGGGGAAAGAUUUAUCGCCAUUGGAGCGGCCCGCGUCUGAUUAGCUAGUUGGUGAGGUAAAGGCUCACCAAGGCGACGAUGAGUAGCUGGUCUGAGAGGAUGAUCAGCCACAUUGGGACUGAGACACGGCCCAAACUCCUACAGGAGGCAGCAGUGGGGAAUCUUGCGCAAUGGGCGAAAGCCUGACGCAGCCAUGCCGCGUGAAUGAUGAAGGUCUUAGGACUGUAAAAUUCUUUCACCGGGGACGAUAAUGACGGUACCCGGAGAAGAAGCCCCGGCUAACUUCGUGCCAGCAGCCGCGGUAAGAC
rnacentral:rRNA from 1 species